AUGAACGCUAGCGACAGGCUUAACACAUGCAAGUCGAGGGGCAGCGGGGUGUAGCAAUACACCGCCGGCGACCGGCGCACGGGUGAGUAACGCGUAUGCAACUUACCUAUCAGAGGGGGAUAACCCGGCGAAAGUCGGACUAAUACCGCAUGAAGCAGGGGCCCCGCAUGGGGAUAUUUGCUAAAGAUUCAUCGCUGAUAGAUAGGCAUGCGUUCCAUUAGGCAGUUGGCGGGGUAACGGCCCACCAAACCGACGAUGGAUAGGGGUUCUGAGAGGAAGGUCCCCCACAUUGGUACUGAGACACGGACCAAACUCCUACGGGAGGCAGCAGUGAGGAAUAUUGGUCAAUGGGCGUAAGCCUGAACCAGCCAAGUCGCGUGAGGGAUGAAGGUUCUAUGGAUCGUAAACCUCUUUUAUAAGGGAAUAAAGUGCGGGACGUGUCCCGUUUUGUAUGUACCUUAUGAAUAAGGAUCGGCUAACUCCGUGCCAGCAGCCGCGGUAAUACGGAGGAUCCGAGCGUUAUCCGGAUUUAUUGGGUUUAAAGGGUGCGUAGGCGGCCUUUUAAGUCAGCGGUGAAAGUCUGUGGCUCAACCAUAGAAUUGCCGUUGAAACUGGGGGGCUUGAGUAUGUUUGAGGCAGGCGGAAUGCGUGGUGUAGCGGUGAAAUGCUUAGAUAUCACGCAGAACCCCGAUUGCGAAGGCAGCCUGCCAAGCCAUGACUGACGCUGAUGCACGAAAGCGUGGGGAUCAAACAGGAUUAGAUACCCUGGUAGUCCACGCAGUAAACGAUGAUCACUAGCUGUUUGCGAUACAGUGUAAGCGGCACAGCGAAAGCGUUAAGUGAUCCACCUGGGGAGUACGCCGGCAACGGUGAAACUCAAAGGAAUUGACGGGGGCCCGCACAAGCGGAGGAACAUGUGGUUUAAUUCGAUGAUACGCGAGGAACCUUACCCGGGUUUGAACGCAUUCGGACCGAGGUGGAAACACCUUUUCUAGCAAUAGCCGUUUGCGAGGUGCUGCAUGGUUGUCGUCAGCUCGUGCCGUGAGGUGUCGGCUUAAGUGCCAUAACGAGCGCAACCCUUGCCACUAGUUACUAACAGGUGAUGCUGAGGACUCUGGUGGGACUGCCAGCGUAAGCUGCGAGGAAGGCGGGGAUGACGUCAAAUCAGCACGGCCCUUACAUCCGGGGCGACACACGUGUUACAAUGGCGUGGACAAAGGGAUGCCACCUGGCGACAGGGAGCGAAUCCCCAAACCACGUCUCAGUUCGGAUCGGAGUCUGCAACCCGACUCCGUGAAGCUGGAUUCGCUAGUAAUCGCGCAUCAGCCAUGGCGCGGUGAAUACGUUCCCGGGCCUUGUACACACCGCCCGUCAAGCCAUGGGAGCCGGGGGUACCUGAAGUCCGUAACCGCGAGGAUCGGCCUAGGGUAAAACUGGUGACUGGGGCU
rnacentral:rRNA from 1 species